GUCUCUGUAUUGCAAUGGACAGCGCGUUGGACUUCUCAUCCAAAGGCCGUGAGUUCGAAUCCCACCUGGGAUG